CCAGGUUCCACUGGGCAGCCUUGAGUAGAGCUCUUGGAAGUCCCUCCAACCAUGGCCUGGGUCUCCUUCUACCUCCUGCCCUUCAUUUUCUCCACAGGUCUCUGUGCUCUGCCUGUGCUGACUCAGGCCCCGUCUGCAUCUGCUUCGUUGGGAGCCUCUGUCAAGCUCACCUGCACCCUGAGCAGUGAGCACAGCAACUACUAUAUUAUCUGGUAUCAACAGAGACCAGGGAGGUCUCCCUGGUAUAUAAUGAAGGUUAACAGUGAUGGCACCCACAGCAAGGGGGACGGAAUCCCUGAUCGCUUCUUGGGCUCCAGUUCUGGGGCUGACCGCUACCUCACCAUCUCCAACCUCCAGUCUGACGAUGAGGCUGAGUAUUACUGUGGAGAGAGCCACACGAUUGAUGGCCAGUACGGUUGA